rnacentral:rRNA from 1 species
ACGGGUGAGUAACGCGUGGGAACAUACCCCUCGGUUCGGAAUAACUCAGGGAAACUUGAGCUAAUACCGGAUACGUCCGAGGUUUAAUCGACCUUGGAGAAAGAUUUAUCGCCGGAGGAUUGGCCCGCGUCUGAUUAGCUUGUUGGUGAGGUAAUGGCUCACCAAGGCGACGAUCAGUAGCUGGUCUGAGAGGAUGAUCAGCCACAUUGGGACUGAGACACGGCCCAA